GUUUAUUUGUUCAGCCAUAGGCGACAGGCAUAGAACGUUCAUUUUCUAUUUGUAAACGAUUUUACCUGCGUUUUUGUUUUUGUUUUUGUUUUGGAAUACCUACUUCAUAGAUGAGCAUUUCAAUUUAGUGUUUGAUUGUGUCAGAAUAUGUGUGCUAAAAUGCAAUAUUUUGCUUCAUUAGAUUUGCUGUCCCCUGAAGUUUGUGAUUUAUCGCUGCUUAGGGCCAGCGGCCCAUCGGACAGCCUUGAGAAGACCGCCGCACGCUGUUUGCAGUCCGUCGACCACCUGUCUUCAACGGACGGACGCCCUCGGUCCCACUCAGCAAUUGACUGAAGCCUAUCGCGCCGAUAUGCUCGCUCAUCUUCCAUCCUCGCCCUGCCUGAUGGUUUCGACGACCCGGGCUGUGGUCCCUGAGGUUCGGAACCCGUCUCGCUGGCCUGCCAGCAGGAGGCCUGGCGCUCGUCGCAGACGAGCGCUGCAGUGUGGCCAGUGAACCUGAUGCUUCACUGGCCACACUGCUGGCACUGAUACUGCACAUCGCACAGCUCGUUAUAUAACAAUUUAACACAUGUGAGGCGUGAUUUAUUUGUAGAUAUUUGUAAACAGCCUUU